AUACUUACCUGGCAGAGGAGACACCAUUAUCAAGAAGGUGGUUCUCCCAGGGCGAGGCUCACCCAUUGCACUCCGGUGUGUUGACCUCUGCGAUUUCCUCAAAUAGGGGAAACUCGACUGUGUAACUUAUGGUAGUGGGGGACUGCCGGCGCGCUUUCCCUUG